CACGUAGGGUGCGAGCGUUUGUCCGGAAUUAUUGGGCGUAAAGAGCUCGUAGGCGGUGUGUCGCGUCGGCCGUGAAAAACCUGCAGCUUAACUGUGGGCUUGCGGUCGAUACGGGCAUCACUGGAGUUCGGCAGGGGAGACUGGAAUUCCUGGUGUAGCGGUGAAAUGCGCAGAUAAUCAGGAGGAACACCGGUGGCGAAGGCGGGUCUCUGGGCCG
rnacentral:rRNA from 1 species